rnacentral:rRNA from 1 species
GACGAACGCUGGCGGCGUGCUUAACACAUGCAAGUCGAACGGAAAGGCCCUGCUUUUGUGGGGUGCUCGAGUGGCGAACGGGUGAGUAACACGUGAGUAACCUGCCCUUGACUUUGGGAUAACUUCAGGAAACUGGGGCUAAUACCGGAUAGGAGCUCCUGCUGCAUGGUGGGGGUUGGAAAGUUUCGGCGGUUGGGGAUAGACUCGCGGCUUAUCAGCUUGUUGGUGGGGUAGUGGCUUACCAAGGCUUUGACGGGUAGCCGGCCUGAGAGGGUGACCGGCCACAUUGGGACUGAGAUACGGCCCAGACUCCUACGGGAGGCAGCAGUGGGGAAUAUUGCACAAUGGGCGGGAGCCUGAUGCAGCAGCGCCGCGUGCGGGAUGACGGCCUUCGGGUUGUAAACCGCUUUCGCCUGUGACGAAGCGUGAGUGACGGUAAUGGGUAAAGAAGCACCGGCUAACUACGUG